CUCCGUGUCACUAGGUGGCAGUAAAGCAACAACAAAGCUAUUUUGACAAUCAGGUUUCACUAGAAGAAGAUGAGAAUGUUUUGUUUCAUGGCGCGAAUGCGACACUGCCAAUCCUAGCUGAGUAGUAAUAAUAAUAAUAACAACAACAAUAAAAAAUACCUUUGAACUAGUUUACUGGUUUUUGCAAGUUUAACCUGGGACAAAGCUGUUUAAACUGGGACCACGUCAAUCAUGUUCAUCUGUAGACGCCGGUUCAGUUAGUCACGUUAGCUAGCUGAGUGGCUAAAAGGCGCUCGCGCUCAGAUGAGCUGCGUCUCGAGCUUGGUGGAGAUUUGUCGUGAAUCUGGAGCCUGUCCCAGCAGUGCGAGGCAGGUACACACCCUGGGUAGUAGGCCAGAGUAGCUAAUCCACCUUAUGGUAUGUUUUUUGGAUGUGGGAGGAAACCCGAGAGCCCGGAGGAAAGCCGUGUGAACACAGGGAGAGCACACACAAACCCAAGCGACCAGCUGCAUGUGCAUUCCUGCGCAAAUAAAUAACUCGCCGGAUCCGAAUUAGGAAAGGAUCGGAUUGGAUUUUGUUGCAUCAUUUUAACCAGUCCCGUUUAGGACUGAAGCCAGGAUGACCAAAGCGAGCCAGGAUGUGUAUAUGGUGAAAUUUGUCGAACGUAAUGGGCAUAAAAGUGAGCUUGGCCGCAAAGCUUAUGAGGCCAUAGUGGAGCUGCAGUCUGAGAAAUACGUGCAGAUUAUUGUUGAAGAAGCCGUGCUGGAGGUGGAGCGCAACGACAAGUCCCUGUACGUGUUCAGCGAUUUCACCAGCGAUGCGUUUGAGCACUGCAGGAAGCUGGGGUGCAGGAUAGUGAGUCCUCUGGUAGUGCUGUUCUGCCUGCAGCAGCAGAGGUGUGUACCAAAGGCAGAGCAGCCAGUUUACAACAUGGCCAUGGCUGAUGUUACAGUGUCCUGCACCAGUCUGGACAAAGAAGCACGGAUGGAAGUGAUGGACUUGGUCCAGUUGAUGGGUGGGCGGGUCUACCGAGACCUCAACGUGUCCGUCACUCACCUGGUGGCAGGUGAAGUGGGCAGUAAAAAGUAUUUGGUGGCAGCCAGCCUGGGGAAGCCCGUCCUUCUGCCAACCUGGGUCAGAGCAUGCUGGGAGAAAUCUCAGGACAGUUUGUUCCGGUACUCAGACCUGUGUUUGGAGGAGUACCGGUGUCCUAUUCUCAAAGGUUGCACUGUGUGUGUGACGGGUCUGUCCACGGUGGAGCGCAAAGAGGUGCAGAGGCUGUGUGAACUGCACGGUGGGAGUUACACCGGCCAGCUCAAGAUGAACGAAUGCACUCACCUCAUUGUCAGCGAGCCCUCAGGUCAGAAGUAUGAGUUCGCGAAGAAGUGGAACGUGUACUGCAUCUCCAUUCACUGGCUUUUCGACAGUAUCGAGAAGGGCUUCUGUCAGGAUGAGAGUCGUUAUGCCGUAGAGCGAGAGGACAAGAGGAAGGAGCAGACUGGCAGACCCAACACCUCCACUCCAACUGGCUCAAAUAAGACAGAUGGACCGUCUUUGCUUGGCCUGAGCCAUAUCUCAAAUAUCAGUAUGAAUGUCAACGAAACAACCAUGACAACUGCAACAACGAUCCGCACAGAGACUGCCGAUCCAAUUGACGCAUUUGAUGCUACCAUCUGUCCAACAGAUGACUUAUUAGAUGGCUGCAAGCUUUACCUGUGUGGCAUGGUGGGGAAGAGGCUGGAGAAACUGCGCCGGUUGGUGAACUCUGCCGGAGGCCUGCACUUCAACCAGCUCGGUGAAGAACUUACACACAUCGUGAUGGGAGAACCUGACCAGGAUGUCAAAGGCUUUCUCACUAAAGCCAUUCAUAGGCCACAUAUUGUCACAGUGCAGUGGUUGCUGGACAGUUUCUCUCGUGGCUCUCUGCUUCCUGUGGAGACCUACUUCCACCCUUCAUUCCUCCCUCCUGUUCCAGCCCAAGUGAACAUUCCCGCCACCCGCCCUGCUACCUCACGCCCCUCCAGGCCAUCUUUUGCUGCCCCGCCAGCACCCAGCCCUAACCAACAUGCCAGGGCUGAGGAACAAUUACUCUCGCAGUAUGUGGACAGUAACCAGACUGUAGUGGAGUUACCUCCACCCCCAGAUAACAAAAACAAGACUUGCAGGUCUGAAGUACCAGACCCAGCCGCACCAGGUCAUUACUCCACUGUAGCUGGAUCCUCAGAGGGAGGUAUGUUUACUGGGAAACGCUUCCUCCUGGUGGGCUUUGGUGCAGAAUCAGAGGCACAGCUCUCGAUGUUGAUUGUGGAGAGCAAUGGAAAAGUUUUGGUUGGCCGGUUCAGAGGUGUGGCCGAUUAUGCCGUAGUUCCUCUUCUGGGCUGUGAGGUGGAGGCCACAGUGGACGAAGUGGUCACAGACACCUGGCUGGCAAUGUGUGUGGAGCAGCAGUGUAUUCUGCCAGUGUCAUCUCAUCCAUUGUUCACCCCAGUUGUGGCGAAGGAGGGCUGCUCUCCUCUCAGAGACUGUGUGCUGUCAGUUAGCCAGUUUACCGGAGCAGAGCGAGAGUCCCUCAUUCAGCUUACAAGGCAUCUGGGAGCAAGUGUCCAGGACUAUUUUGUGCGCACUGCUAAUCAGAGGAAAGGCAUGCUGGCUAGCACUCACCUUGUCCUGCAGAUUCCUGAGGGCACGAAGUACCAGGCAGCACAGAAGUGGGGGCUGCCUGCCGUGACCAUACACUGGAUCCUAGAGUCUGCCAGAACAGGCAAACGUGCUGAGGAGAAGCGCUAUCUGGUGGAUCUGCCUCCAUCUCCUGAGCACAGCGAGGACAGUUUUGUUGGAGCGUCUCAGAAAGCUGCAGGCCCUCCCAUGCCUGUGCGUAUCUCUCCAGAGAUUCCUCUGCUGGGUCCUCAGAGCAGCACCUCCGUAACGCCGUUGGACACGGGCCGUCUGCAGAGCCGCGCUGUCCACUCCGUCCUCCGCAGGAUGAAGAAAGGUGAGGAGGGAGAGGUGGAGGGCACAACCCCGGCUCAAGAAGAAAGCAGAGGGAUCUUGCAGAAAGAGCUUCAGCUUGACACGCCGUCUCGCUUCCUCAGCAGAGACAAGCUUUUUGGACCUUCCUUUAACAUUAAGGAUGUGUUUGACCAUUUAAAAACACCCGGUAAUAAGCCUCAGCAGGGCGAGAGGGCGGAGACUCCCCUAAGUGAGGUGAUCGAAAGGAAUUUGAAGGCAGCGGUGGCCAAUAGCAACCGCAGUCAUGUCAUGAGCCUCGCUGCCCUGACUGCAAGUCCUCAACUAGGCAAACAGCCAGAACCUAAAAUCCAUGAACAGGUGAAGGAAAAGACUUCAGCUCCGCUUGACGGAGUGGUCGUUUGUGUGAGUAAGAAACUCAUUAAAAAACAGAGUGAGCUAAAUGCAAUGGCUGCAUCCCUAGGAGCAGACUUCAGGUGGUCUUGUGAUGAUUCGGUCACCCACUAUAUCUACCAGGGCAAAGUGGGAGACAACACUAAAGAGUACAGGGCAGUGAAGGAAAGAGGCCUGCAUAUAGUGUCCCAGCACUGGCUGCAGGCGUGUGCAGAGGAGCAGAAGCGAGUGCCUGAGUCACUCUACCCCUUCACCUUUAACCCCAAAAUGAGCCUGAUGCUGAGCCAGGUGGCAAACAGCACCCAGAAAUCUCCUCCCCUCUCCACACCCUACUCCAAACUCCGAGCUCUCGAUGAUGACGAUGACGACACAUGGAUGGGGGCUGUGGACAUCACUGCAGAUAUUUCUACGCCUCAGAGAGAACCUGCGGAGAGAGAGCAGCAGCAACCGAGCAGCAGUGAAAGGAAAGACUUGACCAAGACUCUGGAGAUGAGGGAGAACUUGCAGAGGCAGCUACAGGAGAUUAUGUCUGCCACAAAGCUGACCAGUGGCCGGCGAGCCUCCUCUAGAUUGGCUCGAGUGGGUUCAGGGGGUCUAGACUCUCCACACACUCCAGAGAUUCUGGGCCGAAUGGGUAGGCGCAGCAGGACACUGGAGGCCUUACGCAUGUCCCGUCAGGCUGCAGUGGAUGUGAACACAGAAGCGUCUCAGAGUGAGCAGAUAGUGUGGGACGACCCCACGGCGAGAGAGGAGAGGGCGAAACUGGCUGAUAACCUGCAAUGGCCGGGCAGCCCUUCUCAACAUUCAGAGCCUCUCGCCAUCCUUCCUCCACCACCACCACACACUGAUCAAAGCGCCCGAGACACCAUGACCGACUCUGAACUGGUGGAGAUGGCUGCCUGCGAUGUAAUACAGGACCACAUGAAACAGAUGGUGACCCCACCAAGAGUUAACACUGAGCCUCAGGCUCCCAAAAUGCCUGAAGCACCUAGUACUGCUUUUCCUGUCUCCAAAGCUUCAGUGCCAGCUGAGCUACAGUUUGAGCAAGAGGAGGAGCGGGAGAAGAAGGUGGUGAAGAAGGGGCCUCCACGCUUCCAGUUGUCUUCACUUAGCCCACAGGAGCGCAUUGAUUACAGCCAUCUCGUCGAGGAGCUGGGUGGUAUCUUACUAGAAAAGCAGUGUUUUGACCCUAGCUGUACUCACAUCAUUGUGGGUUAUCCUCUGAGGAAUGAGAAAUACCUGGCUGCCAUGGCAGCUGGCAAAUGGAUCCUUCACCGCUCAUACCUGGAGGCCUGUCGUGCUGAGGGACACUUCAUACCGGAGGAGGAUUAUGAAUGGGGUAGCCACUGUAUUAUGGAUGCUCUUCCCUCCAUAAACUCUCAACAGAAGAGACUGGCACUAGCGGCCUUGCGCUGGAGAAAAUCGUUGCAGGGUCACACCGAUAAAGAGGGUGCAUUUGGUGGCUGGACAGUGAUGUUGAACAUUGACCAGGCCAGAGAUGCAGGAUUCAGAAGAUUGCUGCAGUCUGGAGGAGCAAAGGUAUUGCCAAGCCCAUCUCCCUCUCUGUAUAAGGAAACCACUCAUCUCUUCGCAGACUUCAGCCGGCUGGGUCCUAAUGAUGUGAGAGUAGAUGUGACUGAGGCCAUGGCUUAUGGAGUUAAAUGCCUCAGGCCUGAGUACAUUGCUGAUUACCUCAUGCAGGAACCCUCACCACCAAUGGAUGCAUAUUAUCUUCCUGGUGCAGCAGCGAAUGGGCUUCCUGAGACCGCACACCAAGGCCAGAACCCCCCCUCACGCAAGCGCAGGGCCUCAGGGGACACAUCCGCUGUGAAGAAGAGCAGACAUCUACUAAGUCCACCACUGAAGGGCCCUUAUUCAUCAGAGUUGCAUCAGAAACAAGCAUAAGAUGCAUUUGAAUGCAUGCAAAGGCGAAUUUCCAUCUGAUUCAGUAAAUCAAGGUGUUGCAACAGUGAGCAAAUAAAAGCAAAGCAUUCUGUGGACUACAGCUAUCCAGGGUGCAAGGAUGAAUGAAAUCAAUUGAGGGGAUGGAAAAUACAUUUCAGUAAAGCUAAGUUACAGGUGCUUGUAGCUGAGAUUGCUGAAAAUAAAGAUGUUCUUUUCUGAACAAUUUCAA